GAAUUUUCCGCAAUGGGCGAAAGCCUGACGGAGCAAUGCCGCGUGAAGGAUGAAGGCCUGUGGGUUGUAAACUUCUUUUCUCAUAGAAGAUAAUGACGGUAUAUGAGGAAUAAGCAUCGGCUAACUCCGUGCCAGCAGCCGCGGUAAUACGGAGGAUGCAAGCGUUAUCCGGAAUGAUUGGGCGUAAAGCGUCUGUAGGUGGCUGUUUAAGUCUACUGUCAAAAAUCAAGGCUUAACCUUGGGAAGGCAGUGGAAACUAGACGGCUUGAGUUGGGUAGAGGCAGAGGGAAUCCCCGGUGUAGCGGUGAAAUGCGUAGAUAUCGGGAAGAACACCAGUGGCGAAGGCGCUCUACUGGGCUAAAACUGACACUGAGAGACGAAAGCUAGGGUAGCGAAAGGGAUUAGAUACCCCUGUAGUC
rnacentral:rRNA from 1 species